GAGCAACGCCGCGUGAACGAUGAAGGUUUUCGGAUUGUAAAGUUCUGUUGUUAGGGAAGAACCGCCGGGAUGACCUCCCGGUCUGACGGUACCUAACGAGAAAGCCCCGGCUAACUACGUGCCAGCAGCCGCGGUAAUACGUAGGGGGCAAGCGUUGUCCGGAAUUAUUGGGCGUAAAGCGCGCGCAGGCGGUUUUUUAUGUCAGGUGUGAAAGCCCACGUCUCAACCGUGGAGGCCCACUUGAAACUGGGAGGCUUGAGUGCAGGAGAGGAGAGCGGAAUUCCACGUGUAGCGGUGAAAUGCGUAGAGAUGUGGAGGAACACCCGUGGCGAAGGCGGCUCUCUGGCCUGUAACUGACGCUGAGGCGCGAAAGCGUGGGGAGCGAACAGGAUUAGAUACCCUGGUAGUCCACGCCGUAAAMGUUGAGUGCUAGGUGUUGGGGACUCCAAUCCUCAGUGCCGCAGCUAACGCAAUAAGCACUCCGCMUGGGGAGUACGGCCGCAMGGCUGAGACUCAAAGGAAUUGACGGGGACCCGCACAAGCGGUGGAGCAUGUGGUUUAAUUCUAAGCAACGCGAAGAACCUUACCAGGGCUUGACAUCCCGCUGUCCCUCCUAGAGAUAGGAGCUCUCUUCGGAGCAGCGGUGACAGGUGGUGCAUGGGUGUCGUCAGCUCGUGUCGUGAGAUGUUGGGUUAAGUCCCGCAACGAGCGCAACCCUUGUCCUUAGUUGCCAGCAUUCAGUUGGGCACUCUAGGGAGACUGCCGUCGACAAGACGGAGGAAAGUGGGGAUGACGUCAAAUCAUCAUGCCCCUUAUGUCCUGGGCUACACACGUGCUACAAUGGAUGGAACAACGGGCAGCCAACUCGCGAGAGUGCGCCAAUCCCUUAAAACCAUUCUCAGUUCGGAUUGCAGGCUGCAACUC
rnacentral:rRNA from 1 species